AACAUCCAAAACCCUCAAGACUGGCCGAGGGAACACAGGAAGAUUGCUGAAUUCCUGGUGAUAUUAUGGUUCCUGAGUCUUCUGCCGUGCUUCUUUGCUCCAAUUAGUAUCAUCCCAAUAUAUGUGUAUUCACUUGCCCUUUAUAGGUUUAUGCACUUCUUUCUUAUCAACCCCCCAAAAAACUUUCUACUAUAAAUCCAGAUUUUGGUUGUUUAAACUUCUGAACCAGAAUUUUGCAGCAGAAAUACAUACAGAGUGCGAGCCACUGUUCAGUGCAUUCCUGCUUGGCUUCGCUUCAGCCAGUGC
rnacentral:sRNA from 1 species